rnacentral:misc_RNA from 1 species
GUACCCUCAAGCUCUGCUUGGUGUUGGGUGUUUGUCCCGCCUUUGGUGCGUGGACUCGCCUCAAAAUAAUUGGCAGCCGGCAUAUUGGCCUUGGAGCGCAGCACAUUUUGCGCUUCUAGUCAAUGAUUGUUGGCGUCCAGCAAGUACAAAUCUCAAC